UUUCCGGUUGAUCCUGCCGGACCUGACUGCUAUCGGAUUGAUACUAAGCCAUGCGAGUCAUUGUAGCAAUACAAGGCAUACGGCUCAGUAACGCGUAGUCAACCUAACCUAUGGACGGGAAUAACCUCGGGAAACUGAGAAUAAUGCCCGAUAGAACAUUAUGCCUGGAAUGGUUUAUGUUCCAAAUGAUUUAUCGCCGUAGGAUGGGACUGCGGCCUAUCAGUUUGUUGGUGAGGUAAUGGCCCAACAAGACUAUUACAGGUACGGGCUCUGAGAGGAGUAGCCCGGAGAUGGGUACUGAGACACGGACCCAGGCCCUAUGGGGCGCAGCAGGCGAGAAAACUUUGCAAUGUGCGAAAGCACGACAAGGUUAAAUCCGAGUGGUU
rnacentral:rRNA from 1 species